UGGAUGUUCUGUGUUUUCUUUUUUCCAUUCUUUGUUUUUCUUUGCAUUUCAGUUCUGAAGUUUCUCUGUCAUCAAGAUCAUUGACACCUUUCUUGGGCACUUCCAGACUACUGAUGAGCCCACCAAAGGUUCCAAGCACGGUGUCUGGCACAAAGAAAAUGUUCACUAGAUGUUUCCUGAAUUAAAACUGUCCAACAAAACAGUUCAAAAAGAUGAUUUGCACAGGCCGGCUUCAAGGAAGACAUGAUGAGGGGGAGCAGGCAGUCACCUUAGAGUUGUGCAAAAUUUCAGAAAUUGAAAAGGGAUAAGAGGAAGGAGAAAAUGCUGGGCUGGUGUGAAGCGAUAGCCCGUAACCCUCACAGAAUUCCAAACAACACGCGAACACCCGAGAUCUCAGGGGAUUUGGCUGACACCUCACAAACCUCCACAUUGGUGAGUGGAAAGUUAUUUUACCUCAAAUUGGCUUGUAUGUAAAUAGAAUGCUAAAGAAAUGUGGGGAGGAUGACCUUAUAACUAAAUGUUAUCCUUGUUUACAACAGUAUUUGCAUUUGUAUUAUAUAAUAUGUUCAUAUAGAUUUGGUUAGUAAACUAACACAAACACCUUUGUGACAUAUAAUAUUAGAGUUUAAUUCCAAUCAAACAGUUGUUUUUCUUUUUAUUAGUUUGGACAUCAUCCAUUUGUUAUGUUAGUGACCUUAAAAUAUUUAAAUUAAAGUUUAUGUUCUUGGAUUCUAUACUGCAUGAUGAAAUCAGUUGAAGAAAAGUAAGUACGCAGUCAUCUAAAGAUGAUUUAAAGAAAAUCAGAAUCCUACUUUUUGUAUUUUUCUAUAUUUUUUCUAAAAAUGUCUCC